rnacentral:rRNA from 1 species
CCUACGGGUGGCUGCAGUGGGGAAUAUUGCACAAUGGGCGCAAGCCUGAUGCAGCCAUGCCGCGUGUGUGAAGAAGGCCUUCGGGUUGUAAAGCACUUUCAGCGGGGAGGAAGGCGGGGAGGUUAAUAACCUCAUCGAUUGACGUUACCCGCAGGAGAAGCACCGGCUAACUCCGUGCCAGCAGCCGCGGUAAUACGGAGGGUGCAAGCGUUAAUCGGAAUUACUGGGCGUAAAGCGCACGCAGGCGGUCUGUCAAGUCGGAUGUGAAAUCCCCGGGCUCAACCUGGGAACUGCAUUCGAAACUGGCAGGCUAGAGUCUUGUAGAGGGGGGUAGAAUUCCAGGUGUAGCGGUGAAAUGCGUAGAGAUCUGGAGGAAUACCGGUGGCGAAGGCGGCCCCCUGGACAAAGACUGACGCUCAGGUGCGAAAGCGUGGGGAGCAAACAGGAUUAGAUACCCCGGUAGUC